GAUGAACGCUGGCGGCGUGCCUAAUACAUGCAAGUCGAGCGAACAGACGAGGAGCUUGCUCCUCUGACGUUAGCGGCGGACGGGGGAGUAACACGUGGAUAACCUACCUAUAAGACUGGGAUAACUUCGGGAAACCGGAGCUAAUACCGGAUAAUAUAUUGAACCGCAUGGUUCAAUAGUGAAAGACGGUUUUGCUGUAACUUAUAGAUGGAUCCGCGCCGCAUUAGCUAGUUGGUAAGGUAACGGCUUACCAAGGCAACGAUGCGUAGCCGACCUGAGAGGGUGGUCGGCCACACUGGAACUGAGACACGGUCCAUACUCCUACGGGAGGCAGCAGUAGGGAAUCUUCCGCAAUGGGCGAAAGCCUGACGGAGCAACGCCGCGUGAGUGAUGAAGGUCUUCGGAUCGUAAAACUCUGUUAUUAGGGAAGAACAAAUGUGGAAGUAACUAUGCACGUCUUGACGGUACCUAAUCAGAAAGCCACGGCUAACUACGUG
rnacentral:rRNA from 1 species